GACGAACGCUGGCGGCGUGCCUAACACAUGCAAGUCGAACGGAAAAGCCCUGCUUUUGUGGGGAGCUCGAGUGGCGAGCGGGUGUGAAACACGUGAGUAACCUGUGCUUGAGUGUGGGAUACCAUCAGGAGACUGGGACUAAUACAGGAUAUGAGCUCCUGAAACAUGGGGGGGGUUGGAGAGUUUCGGAGGUUGGGGACGGACACGUGGUUUAUCAGCUUGUUGGGGAGGUGGUGGCUUAAAAAGGCAUUGACGGGUGGCCCGCCUGAGAGGGUGACCGGGCACAAUGGGACUGAGGUAGGGCCCAGAGUGCAACGGGGGGCAGCGGUGGGAAACAUUGCACAAUGGGCCGAAGCCGUGUACAGCGACGCCGCGUGCGGAAUGACUGCCUUCUGGGUAUAAACCGCUUUAGCCUGUGACGAAGCGUGAGUGACGGUAAUGGGUAAAGAAGCACCGGCUAACUACGUG
rnacentral:rRNA from 1 species